rnacentral:rRNA from 1 species
AUUGAACGCUGGCGGAAUGCUUUACACAUGCAAGUCGAACGGCAGCACGAGGGCAACCCUUGUUUCGCGGGGCGAACGGGUGAGUAAGACAUCUGAACGUGCCCCGUCGUGAGGGAUAACGUAGCGAACUUUACGCUAUUACCACAAACGAUCAGAGGAUGAAAGCGAGGAACCUUCGCCCCUCGCGCGAUCGGAACGGCCUAUGUCCGGUUAGGUAGGUGGGGGGGUAAAGGCCUACCCAGCCGACGAUCUGUAUCUGGUCUGAGAGGACGACCAGCCACACUGGGACUGAGACACGGCCCCGACUCCUACGGGAGGCAGCAGUGGGGAAUUUUGGACAAUGGGCGCAAGCCUGAUCCAGCCAUUCCGCGUGCAGGACGAAGGCCUUCGGGUUGUAAACUGCUUUUGUAUGGAACGAAAAGGCUCUGGCUAAUACCUGGGGCUCAUGACGGUACCGUAAGAAUAAGCACCGGCUAACUACGUG